UCAACACAGACGCUGUGUAUCGAUACUUGUUGAAUUCCAGGUACUCGCGGAUGAGCUCGUUGAUUAGAAGGUUGUCGUGCGACAGCACAGGACGCGGCUCGCUCUGAUCGUCGAGCGCAUUGAACACCUCAGCUCUGAUCCGAGCCUUCAGCUGACCCAACACACCUCGAGACUCCAGGCUCUCUCUCAGAGCUGGGAGAGAAGAUAAGCUGUUGAAAAUGGUAUCUUAAAAACCUCUGCAACUUGUGGGGACAUAUUGGUAACGUAGACUUAAGGGUGAUGCCUUUCAGUGCCCAGUCCAGGCCCUUGCGGUACUGCAGUCCAUAGUCUUGGAACUCUAUAGUGCCAGUCUGAGGCCAGGCCAGAGGCAGGGAACUGCCCUCCACAGUCCACACAGCCUGGCUCCACAUGCUUGAUCAGCUGGGACGUGAGAGGAAUUAACCAGGUGGUGAAGCGUAUCCUCAUCUUAUGUCCUUAAGUCUGGACGUUGUUUUUCUCCAAGAGACCCAUCUCCGGUCCAGCGACCAUGAUGAACUAAAGAGAGGAUAAGUAGACCAAAUAUUCCACUCCAACUUUGGUGCUAUGGCCAGAGGGGCAGCCAUCCUUAUCAGAAAAGGCACCCUGUUUGUCUCCUCCAAAGUCAUUUCAGAUACUAAUGGAAGAUAUAUUAUAGUCAUGUGGAAAUGGUUUAGCACACAGGUUAUUCUGGCUAACCUCUAUCGUCCUAAUUGGGAUGACGGCAGGGUAGCCUAGUGGUUAGAGCGUUGGACUAGUAACCCGAAGGUUGCAAGUUCAAACCCCCGAGCUGACAAGUUACAAAUCUGUCAUUCUGCCCCUGAAUAGGCAGUUAAACCACUGUUCCUAGGCUGUCAUUGAAAAUAAGAAUUUGUUCUUAACUGACUUGCCUAGUUAAAAAAAGGUCAAAUAAAAAAUGACGCAACAUUUUUCUCUGACUUCAUCGCAAUACUUCCUGACCUUAACACUCAUCAUUUGAUAUUGGGCGUAGAUUUCAAUUGUGUAAUGCAUCCAAGUCUAGACAGAUCCAGACCGAAGCCCAACAAUGUAAUUUCAAAAUCAGGCGCAGUAAUCAACUCAUUUCUAGAAUCCUAUAAUUUGUCUGAUCCAUGGAGGAGGAGCUAUCCCACUACUAAACAGUACUCCUUUUUUAUUCUCCAGUCCACAGCUCAUACUCUAGGAUUGACUUUUUCCUGCUGGACAAUAGAAUUCUUCAUUUUGUAACUAAUAGCCAAUAUCGCAGCAUCUUUAUGUCAGACCAUAGCCCUGUCCUAUCUCAGACCGUAGCCCUGUCCAGCUAGAUAUCAGCUUUCCGGACAGUACUGUGUCACAAAGCGCAUGGAGACUUGACCCACUACUACUAUCCUGUAGUGCCUUUAAAAAAUACACAUCAACUCACAUUGAUGUCUUUUUACAGAUCAACUGCACCCCUGAUGUGUCUCACUCUGCUG